rnacentral:rRNA from 1 species
CAGUCGAACGGAGAUUAUACGCAGAGGCGAUUUCGGUCAAAUCAUGUGUAAUCUUAGUGGCGGACGGGUGAGUAACGCGUGGGUAACCUGCCUUACACUGGGGGAUAACACUUAGAAAUAGGUGCUAAUACCGCAUAAGCGCACGAAGCCGCAUGGAUUUGUGUGAAAAACUCCGGUGGUGUAAGAUGGACCCGCGUCUGAUUAGCUUGUUGGCGGGGUAACGGCCCACCAAGGCGACGAUCAGUAGCCGGCCUGAGAGGGUGGACGGCCACAUUGGGACUGAGACACGGCCCAAACUCCUACGGGAGGCAGCAGUGGGGGAUAUUGGACAAUGGGGGGAACCCUGAUCCAGCGACGCCGCGUGAGUGAAGAAGUAUUUCGGUAUGUAAAGCUCUGUCAGCAGGGAAGAAAGAAAUGACGGUACCUGACCAAGAAGCCCCGGCUAACUACGUGCCAGCAGCCGCGGUAAUACGUAGGGGGCAAGCGUUAUCCGGAAUUACUGGGUGUAAAGGGAGCGUAGACGGUUAAGUAAGUCUGGAGUGAAAGGCCGGGGCCCAACCCCGGGACUGCUCUGGAAACUAUUCAACUUGAGUGCAGGAGAGGUAAGCGGAAUUCCUAGUGUAGCGGUGAAAUGCGUAGAUAUUAGGAGGAACACCAGUGGCGAAGGCGGCUUACUGGACUGUAACUGACGUUGAGGCUCGAAAGCGUGGGGAGCAAACAGGAUUAGAUACCCUGGUAGUCCACGCCGUAAACGAUGAUUACUAGGUGUCGGUGGGUAUGGACCCAUCGGUGCCGCAGCAAACGCAGUAAGUAAUCCACCUGGGGAGUA